rnacentral:rRNA from 1 species
UUACUGUAGCUUGACAUUGGGUCUUGGUACUACAUGUACAGGAUAGGUGGGAGGCUUUGAAACCAGGACGCCAGUUUUGGCGGAGCCAUCCUUGGGAUACCACCCUUGUAGUACUGGGACUCUAACCAUAGGCCAUGAAUCUGGUCUUGGGACACUGUCAGGUGGGCAGUUUGACUGGGGCGGUCGCCUCCCAAAAGGUAACGGAGGCGCUCAAAGGUUCUCUCAGUACGGUCGGAAAUCGUACGUAGAGUGUAAAGGCAAAAGAGAGCUUGAUUGCAAGACAUACAGGUCGAGCAAGGAUGAAAAUCGGACUUAGUGAUCCGGUGGUUCUGCGUGGAAGGGCCAUCGCUCAACGGAUAAAAGCUACCCUGGGGAUAACAGGCUUAUCUCCCCCAAGAGUCCACAUCGACGGGGAGGUUUGGCACCUCGAUGUCGGCUCAUCACAUCCUGGGGCUGUAGUAGGUCCCAAGGGUUGGGCUGUUCGCCCAUUAAAGUGGUACGCGAGCUGGGUUCAGAACGUCGUGAGACAGUUCGGUCCCUAUCCGUCGCAGGCGUAGGAAAUUUGAGAAGACCUGUCCUUAGUACGAGAGGACCGGGAUGGACGUACCUCUGGUGUACCAGUUGUUCUGCCAAGGGCAUGGCUGGGUAGCUAUGUACGGAAUGGAUAAGCGCUGAAAGCAUCUAAGCGCGAAGCCAACUU